rnacentral:lncRNA from 1 species
CUGUCGUUUACAGCCUGGUAUGGACCCCUUUCUUCAUCAGUCCUUCUUCUCUGCAACUGGAUUUCAGUUCAGUUCAAGGUUUAGCUGUGGGUGUCCGCUUCUACUUCCACCAGCUGAUGGAUGAUGGCUACAGGAUGGCAUAUGAAUUCAUUAUCAAUAUCAUUAUCAGGGAAGGGCAUAUAAGGUGGUGUCUCUUCCUUUCCCGGUGUGUAUGGGCCCAAGGUUCUCUUCCAGUGGAUGCAAGAGGUUCCCAUACUCUGCUGGGGCUCAAGGUGGGUGCUGGCGGGUUUCAGGAACUUGCUCUCCAGGUGAAUGGAAGCAGGACUAGCCCAGAGACACCAGCCCAGUGGAUGCAAGAGGUUCCCAUACUCUGCUGGGGCUCAAGGUGGGUGCAAGCGGGUUUCAGGCACUUGCUCUCCAGGUGAAUGGAAGCAGGACUAGCCCAGAGACACCAGAAGACUCCGGUUUGCUUGGUUCUCAGGGGCUGAGUUGAUCUGCCUGCAGAUCCCAGUACAGGAGUUCCCAUUGUGUUAGAAAAUAUACUUUAAAGUGUGAAUCUAAUUACAAAACUGUUUGUUUCUGAGUUUGUCUUUAAAAUUCAAAAUUUUUAACAGAUUAAAGUCCACAAUGAAUACAUAAUGAAAAUAAAUGCAGAUAUAUAAAAUAUGCAUCAAUGUGUGCAUACCAGUCAUUGUCACCACAGUGAUGGUAUUAUAAAACCUCAUCAAUUCAAAAUUUUCUAUGUGUUUGGGUGUAUUCUAGCUGUUGUUAUUAGUGUGUGUUUCUUGUGUUUGUGUGUGUGCUUAGAACAGAGCCUGAAACCUAGACACUCAACAAAUUUUUAAGUGUGAAGUAAAUUCCAAUAAUUCUAUAUAGCAAAUCAUGUUUAAAACUUAUCAUUCUUGCACAUAUGAAGCCCUACAAUCUUUGAAAAACAAAUUCCUCUGUAUAGUAACACCACACUAAAAUACAUAGAGCUAUUGACAAGGGGGUUAAUUAUUCUCCACAACAUGAUGGUAAAGCCCCAUUGCUCAAGGCAUUACUUACUUAUGAAUGCCCUUGAGCAUGGGAAAUUAAGCACUCAAGCCAACUAUAAACUUUACCACCAAUGAUGAACAUUUAUGUUGUGGAAAUUACUUUGUAAAUGUCAGAUGAGAAUGGAAUUAUCAAUAUUAUCCAGUGAAGAGUCCUAUGACCUACAAUCUGCCUACAAGAUGCAUGGGUGCAAUAAAGGUACAAAUGUUAAGGAAGUAGCCAACCAAUUAUAUUUAAAUCCUAUUCCAUGAGAUGAAACCCAUACCUGACACUCUUAAUGAGACCAAGAACUUGAGACUGGAUAGGUCAUUG